UCCGUAAAGGUGGAUGAGUGGUGUUUGGUUUGUUACGUGUGGUUGGCUGCGGCGUUUGCAACAACUUCCAUGCUUUCAGACCUCUUCAGUUGUGCGGCAAGGCUUGUAUCCCCUUGAGCGUGCUGUGGGUUUUCUGUGUUGGCUACCUAAUCAAUGGUAUCGGUUGGAUUGAUCAAAGUUUGAUUUCGUCUUUYGUCGCAUUCGCGGCGUGRGGUGAACCUCGAUGCGGUCUCUUUGAUCCACCUCGUUGAAGCACAUGCCUUGACGUUGUGGCACAUUGAGCAUUGCUUGGUCUCUUGUAUACGGAACAUAUAGUGGGCAUGGAUCUAACGAUUCUCGUUUGCCCUCAUAUUAGCGUAACGCUUCUCUAACACGACUUGCNCCACGUUUUAGCUCGUACGGACGUGGUGCUAUGUCGAAGAGGAAUGCUACCUGGUUGAUCCUGCCAGUAGUCAUAUGCUUGUCUCAAAGAUUAARCCAUGCA
rnacentral:misc_RNA from 1 species